rnacentral:rRNA from 1 species
AUCUAUGGCCAUGCUACUGUGAACGAGCCUGAUCCCGUCUGAUCUCAGAAGCUAAGCAGGGUCGGGCUUGAUUAGUACUUGGAUGGGAGACCACCUAGGAAGACUAGGUGCUAUAGGCC